CAAUAGCGUAUAUUAAAGUUGUUGCGGUUAAAAAGCUCGUAGUUGGAUUUCUGCUGAGAACGACCGGUCCGCCCUCUGGGUGUGUAUCUGGCUCUUUCUUGGCAUCUUCUUGGUGAACGUUGCUGCACUUGACUGUGUGGAGCGCUACCCAGGACUUUUACUUUGAGGAAAUUAGAGUGUUUCAAGCAGGCAUACGCCUUGAAUACAUUAGCAUGGAAUAAUAAGAUAGGACCUCGGUUCUAUUUUGUUGGUUUCUAGAGCUGAGGUAAUGAUUAAUAGGGAUAGUUGGGGGCAUUCGUAUUUAACUGUCAGAGGUGAAAUUCUUGGAUUUGUGAAAGACGGACUACUGCGAAAGCAUUUGCCAAGGAUGUUUNCAUUGA
rnacentral:rRNA from 1 species